UACGUAGGAGGCGAGCGUUGUCCGGAAUCACUGGGUGUAAAGCGCGUGUAGGCGGCCUGCCAAGUCUGCUGUGAAAGCGCCUGGCUUAACCGGGCGAGGUCGGUGGAAACUGGCGGGCUGGAGGACGGUAGAGGGGGGUGGAAUUCCCGGUGUAGUGGUGAAAUGCGUAGAGCUCGGGAAGAACAUCGGUGGCGAAGGCGGCUUGCUGGACCUGGUCUGACGCUGAGGCGCGAAAGCGUGGGGAGCGAACAGG
rnacentral:rRNA from 1 species